CGCGGCGCUGCCAUAAACACGGCAAGAUGGCGGCGCUCACGCCGCCCGCCCGCCCGUGCUGCGUCAUGUCGCGCCCCGGCCCCGCCGCGCCCGCAGGCUCGCCGGGAUCCGCGUUCAAACCGCGCUGGGGAAGAUGGAGAUGUGAGGUCUGUGUGGCUUUAGUCCGGCUGAAGCAAAGCAAAAAUCUGUGUGUGAGAUGCAAGACAACAAACUGUGUUUGUACUGGGGGAAGAGCUGAAUCCUCCAGAGAAAAUAUCAUCAGCCCUUGGAAUAGGGGUGUGACUCCAACACUUGCUAUGCCACAGGGUGCUGGGGAGGAAUUGUUCACUUUCUCCCUUUAAAACCCUGAUAAGGAGCUGCUGGAGCACGAGUAAAAUCCUGAUAGAGUGAUCAAAGUAUGCUUGAAUUGCAAAGCAGUGAUUCUUCUCUCAUCACCUCAGCCUGUGAGAUGUAGAAUUCCCAAUCCCACACUUAAGCCAUGCUGAAAUCGGUACAAUUCCUCACCUGGAAUACCAAUGGUGGUGUGAAAACACCUGGGAGUGAGAGAGAGCCAAGGGCUCAUUGCUCAUGCAGCUCCUUUUCAAAACCCACCCUUGCACAGCCAGAAAACAUUAAUAUUUUUAGCGAGUUUUUGUUGUGCUUUCCUAGCAACAGCCAAUUCCUUAAUGAUUAAUCCCCAAACUGUGGCAAAUCUGCAAAUUUGGGGAUGCAUGCUGAAGUCAUCUGUGCUGCCUGACGUCAGCAUUGCAUAAUCUGUUGACUGUCCCCUUUUUAUGUAAUGUAUGUUUGGAGUUUGUUUUAAAAUGUGCAAAUGUUUUUUUUUCCCCUGCGUGCUGCUCCUCCUGUAUUCCACGUUUGCCUCUCCAUUGCCCUCUGGAGUUGCAAACUUGUAAGGCAGCGUUUCCAUGGCUGGAUCCAGCCGAGUUUUUGUGUUUCUCUCUUAAAAACAGCCUCUGGAACAUCUCAGCACCUUCUCUUUGCCAGGUGAGUUAUUUAGAGUGUUAAAAAAAAAAAAACACCAAUUUUUGGAAUUUCUGCUUCCUGCUGGUGGAAACAUGGAAGCUUCUUGUGCUGCUCCAUCAACAUCAUAAAUGGACUUUUAUUGGAAACUUAGUUACACAUUAACUUUGGCACCAUGAAACUGUUGUGUUUUUUUAAACUCAUUUCAGAACUUGAUGUAUCCAAUUCCCUCAGGCAAUGUGGAGGUGGUAGGAAUAAUUUUGGGAUGUUUUCAGGAAUGCCUGGUUUUAGGGAAGAAAAAACCCAACAGGGGGCAAAGUUGUAGAAAUACACAACAAUGUGGGGGUGGAGAAAUAGUUCUAUGAUCUUUUCAGCAGUGCCUGUUUUUAAGGAAGGAAAAAAAAAAUGGUGGGGAGUAAAUAUAGAUUGAUGGAAGCUUGUAAUUUAACUAAUUACUGGGAUUGUGUAUUUCAAAUGUUUUUAUGUGGAUUUGCUGACCUAAAAAUGCCAAGUUGGGCACCUGGAGGCUGUUCCCUGUGAGCACAGCUGGCUCUGGGAGCUGCUGCCCUCGGAGGGGACAGCCAGGAUCAGCCCUGCUGGCUCUGGAGACACACGUGCCAAGCUCCAGAG
rnacentral:lncRNA from 1 species